ACCAUUGGAGGUGACCUACUGUUCCACAGCUGCUAUGAUGACAUUGUUGCUAAGAAAAUGUUGUUCACGCAGUCCAUCUUUCAUCGACCUGAACAGAUGGAAGUCAGAAGGUGCCAAAUGCAGACUGUACAAUGAAUGUGGUAGGACAUUCUAGUCAAGAUUGUCACUGUGCUCCCCCAUCUUCCAACUGUUGACAUGGAGUGCAAUUCAUCCACAUGGAAAGUGUCCCAUGUGAUGCUUCAGAGGUUCAGUGCUCAUUCCUAUUACAGCCAUUUUAGCACUUUCACACCCCUUUGAUAAUGAACAAGACUCAAAACAUCAUUGCUUUUCUCACUGGUAGCUAACUGUGGGCAAGGUUUCAAGGAUGACAUGAGCAGCUUCCUAUUUAUGGAGUUCACUUUACAGGCUUCUUCAUCAACUCCAUUAAUAUUUAUAUAAACUCAAAUUGCUUUCAAUGUCAUUAUCACAACAUAUCAUUUUGCCUCACUGCACAUAUUGUAACUCCAAAAGGUAAUUUGACAAGGUUAGGUCCUUAUAUAUGCUUAAUGAUGUGUACAUGAUUUCAGCAUUUGCUUAGAUGUGUAUUUGUAUUUUGUAUGCUCCUCUUGGCACUCUGACUGCCUAUACUGGACUGAAUAUUCAAAAUGAGGGUCCCUCCACACAUCUUGUAAUUGAUGCUACAUGGAGUGAGUGAGUUGCACUGAUCACUCAACAGGCUUAGGGAAUAGGGAAUCUCAGCCAUCCAGGAAUCUGAGAAAUGAUUAUGAACUGACCCAAAGGCAAAUAUUUCAGAAUAUUGCCAGAAGAGGAGGUGGCACAUACUGGAGAGGCUCCAAUAUGUUAUAAACUGCCAGAAAAUGAGAAGAAAUAUGCCUUGUUCACUGAUGGGUCCUGUCACAUUGUGGGAAAGUAAUGGAAGUAGAAGGCUACUGUAUGGAGUCCUAUAUGAUGAUCUGCAGAAGCUACUGAAGGAAAGGAUGAAUUGAGACAAUUUGCAGAAGUGGAGUCCAUCUAGCUCUACCUUUACAGUGACUCUUGAAUGGUGGCAAAUGCCCUGAGGGGAUGGUUACAGCAAUGGAAGCAGAACAGCUGGCAGUACAGAGGAAAUAUCCUCUGGAUUGCUGCAUUGUAGAAGGGUAUUGCUGGCCAGGUAGAUAACCUGAUUGUGAAGGUACGUCAUGUAGAUGCUCAUAUACCCAAGAGUUGUGUGACUGAAGAACCUCAAAACAAUCAGCAGGUGAAAGGCUGCUAGGGUUGAAAUGGCUCAGGUAGACUAGGACUAGCAACAUAAGUGUGAACUAUUUUGGUCUCAGUGGGCCCGUGACACUUCUGGCCACCAAGGAAGAGAUGCAACAUAUGGAUGGACUUGGGAGCAAGGGGUGAACUUAACUAUGUGUGUUAUUGUACAACUAAGCCAUGAAUGUGAAACAUACUAUAAUUAAGCAAGCCAAGCAGAUGAAACCUUUUUGGUAUGGAGAAAGAUGGCUACAAUAUAAAUACAGGGAGGCCUUGCAUGUGGGUUACAUCACUCUCCCAUAAACCUGCCAUGUCAAUCACCAUUUGUUUAUGGUGGAUGAAGCAACCACCAGAUGGCUGGAGACAUAUGCCAUGCCACAGCACAAAAUACUACCUUGAAAAGGAAGUCUUGUGGUGACAUGGCACACCAGAAAGAAUUGAGUCAGACAGCUGGACUCAUUUACAAAAAAAUCUCAUAGACACCUGGGCCAAGGAGCAUGGUAUUGAGUGAAUAUAUUACAUCCCCUAUCAUGCAUCAGCCUCUGGAAAAAUUAAAUGGAACAAUGGACUGUUAAAGACUACGUUGAGAGCAAUGCGUGCUGGGACAUUCAAACAUUGAUAUACAGAGUUAGCAAAAGUCUCCUGGUUCGUCAUUACUUGGCGAUCUGCCAGUUAAGCUGGUCCUGGCCAGUCAAAACUCCUGCAUACCAUAGAAGGGGAUAAAGUUCCUAUGGUGCAUAUAAGGAACAUUCUGGGCACAACAGUCUGAGUUAUUCCUGCCUCAGGCAAAGGCAAACCUGCUUGUGGGCUUGCUUUUGCUCAAGGGCUUGGGUGCAUGUGGUGGGUAACACGGAAUGAUGGGGAUGUCUGGUCUGAUCUACCUCAAGGUGAUCUGAUGCUAGGUAAGAACAACCAGGAAUUCUGUGAUGUUAAAUUAUUACAUAAUACUGCAUGUCAUCUUUAUUAUGGUCAUUAUAUGUCUUGUUAACAGCAGUACAGUAAAAACUACCCAGGUUAAGGAAAAAUGGACUCAGAUGGAACCAGAAUGAUUUUCUACAUGCAGUAAUCCAAUUCUGUGAAUCCCUCCUCCUACAUAGAAGGACAGAUAAAGAUAAGGCCCGAAGUUAUGAACAGAAUGAAUACCAGGGGCAAUUUACGUGAAGGGCCCAUAGACUAUGGGAAUAAUAUGAAUGCGUAUAUAUAUAUCGAAAAGCAAGGUAGAUUAUAGUAAUGAGGGCAGUUAGGAUGUGUAGAAAUUGUAAUGUCUGAGUAUGAUGGAAAUAGUAUGGAGUAAAGGGUGUGUAUUGUCUUAGUUUCAGCUGGAACAACAUUUCUCUGAAACAGUAUCAGGUGUGAUGCCACAUUUUGGUUCUAGGAGAAAAACAAUGUUGACAACACACUGAUGUUUAUAGCUGCUGCUAAGCAGUGUUGUACAGAGCCAAAAUCACACUCAGAGAAGGACCCAAGGAGCUGGCUGGGAACAAAAUUAGGAUGGCUGACUUAAACUGGCCAAAGUGAUAUUCCGUAUUGUAUGACAUCAUGCAGGAGGAGUUUUGAAAGGGGUAGGAGUUCAUCUUUUGCUUUUGCACUACUCAGGGGGCUAUCUGGGCAUCAGUUGGGGGAUGUUGGGCAAUUACUUAUGCAUCAUUUAUUGUAUAAAU